rnacentral:rRNA from 1 species
AACGAACGCUGGCGGCAUGCCUAACACAUGCAAGUCGAACGAGGCCUUCGGGUCUAGUGGCGCACGGGUGCGUAACGCGUGGGAACCUGCCCUUAGGUUCGGAAUAACUCCCCGAAAGGGGUGCUAAUACCGGAUAAUGUCUUCGGACCAAAGAUUUAUCGCCUUUGGAUGGGCCCGCGUUGGAUUAGCUAGUUGGUAGGGUAGAAGCCUACCAAGGCGACGAUCCAUAGCUGGUCUGAGAGGAUGAUCAGCCACACUGGGACUGAGACACGGCCCAGACUCCUACGGGAGGCAGCAGUGGGGAAUAUUGGACAAUGGGCGAAAGCCUGAUCCAGCAAUGCCGCGUGAGUGAUGAAGGCCUUAGGGUUGUAAAGCUCUUUUACCCGGGAUGAUAAUGACAGUACCGGGAGAAUAAGCUCCGGCUAACUCCGUG